rnacentral:lncRNA from 1 species
UAUUAGGUGCUGUCAAACAUGUAGGGCCUGUGCUGACACUCUCAGGGAAUUAUUUCUGUGUGCCAGAGUGGAGAAGCCUCUGGAUCAGUGCACUGGUAUGACAGUAUGCUUUUCUGAUGUGAAAAAGGCACUGCAGGCACUGGCCUUAUCAUUCAGGCCUAGAGGUAGUCAGGACCUUCACACAGAGCAUCUUAUGAGAGGACAAACAUUACCUUGAUUACUUUGUGUUUCUUCCUUGAAAAUCAUCUUGAUGUGUGUGAUUCAAAAUCGAAGGAAAAGCUGUUCAGCAGAGAAUUAUUUAUAUAGCAUUCUUUCAUUGAGGUACAUAUAACCAGAGGGAGAUGACUACUUUCAAACUACAGAACCUAUAUUUGACUUCCAAGGUGCAGCUCAUGUGCUUGCGCUGCUGAUCCCACAGUGCCAUGUUCAUAAGUCUUCUUUCGACUGCACUAUACAACUCCUCCAAAAGGCAUCAUGGCUGCAGUGUCAGGAUUGAAUUAAAACAUCAUAAAGAGGAGAAAUUCUUUCCACUCUCUACUUCUUCUCAAUGAUU